GCUCCCCGCCGGGCUCGUGCCCCCACCCGCCCCGGCCCCGUCGGCACGGUGGCCUCACCCAGCCUAACUGCCUCGUUGUACUUGAGCAGCGCCGCCUCCACCUGGCGCUCGCGGUACAGCCGGUUGCCCUCGUGCCGGAGUUGCGACGCCCUUGCCGGGCCCGGGAACAACUUCCCGAGGAGGCCGCUGAGCACCACGUUGACCCGCAGCGGCGGCGCCUGCUGCCCAGCUCGCCGGGCCCCGCGCGCCCGCCCGGUGGCCACCAUCAAAGCGGAGAGUUUGACCCCGCACAGCGCACAGCGCCGGUCGGCUGCCCGCCCGCGUUCCAGGCACAGUUUACAAAAGGUGUGUCCGCAGGACAAGGACACGGGGUCUGAGAGAAAUCCAUGGCACUUCCGGCACUUGAAGCCGUCCCACACCUCGGUGGCCUCGGCGGCCGUCGCCGCCCCUGCCUCUUCCGCCGCCAGAGCGCAGCUCGCCCCGCGGCUCCCGUCCGGGGGCUCCGGCGCCGGCUCCUCGCCUUGAGGGACUUUCUCGGCCAGGCAGCGCACCAGCUGCUCCAGCUGCUCGGCCACCAGCUGCUGCCGCUCCGAGAGCUGUCGGUACACCUCGAGGGCUUCACGGAGGCGCCCCCCAGACGCCAGGGCGUCGGCCUGCGUGAGAAGGACUUUGCACUCCGGCGUCGAGGCCCUCGGAGGACGCUCCUGCGGCGGCGGCCGAGUCGGUAGAGAGAAAUUUAUUUCUGGAGACUGGGAAGUCCAAGAUCAAAGUGCUGGCAGAUCCAGUGUCUGAUGCAGAUUUGGGCUGUGCCUUUGCUCCCUGGACCACCUCGACAAGUAAGCAUUCCCUGGGUUGGCUUCCCUUCCUUACCCGCCAUGGCAAGGAGGCAAGGAGAAGGCCAAGUCAGGCAGCGGGUUUCAUUCAGUCCUGCAGACUUCGAGUGGAGUUGCUCUCAUCAGGUGGCCCCUCCGGACAGCUGUGUGUGCCAUGGCUAACCAGGAACUUAGGAAGGUUGAAAGCUGCCAGUGUGUUGCAGGGUGCAAUGGUGCAAAAGGCAGCACCAUCCACUCACUACCAGGCCACGUGAGAGUUUUACGUUGCAUUUUCACAUCAGGACUGCCUGUAGGAUAACACCCAGUGGGUUUCUAUUGAAUACUGGAGAACAUUACCACAAUGCUUGUCCUUCCUUCUUUCUUUAAACAAACAUUCCAUUGGUAUUCAUUUGUGGACCAACUCACAAAUCUCCUACUCAAAACUUCUUCUCCUCUGCCCUUAAUGAUUGAAGUUCCCUAGAACUUGACGAUGAGGGGAGAGGAGAAAUUGAGAACGCUUUUUCAGAUGCCAAUAUUCCCUUUAAAGGGCUGGGUCCUUCAAACCUCCAUUUAUUUUGCCAGCAUCCCCUCCUGGCUAAGGUUAACCAAGAAAAAGAGCAAGAGUUGAUCCGCUCCUCCUUUUCAACUGACUUACAGCAAGUUUUCCAACUGGGCCCUGAGGAUUCUCGCUGGGGCCCAGAGGAGACAGCAGGCAAGGUUCGACUCUAGCUCCCCUCAACCAGGGCAACCUUGUGUCCACCUGUUUCAUGUAGUGAGCUUUGGGGAUGAUUUCAUUGAAGAAAGGCUUUCCCUUCCUUAAAAUUAAAAAGUUUGAAAACUGUAGCAGUUUUCACCUCUUCUAACAUAUUUGCUGAGCAUCUUCUAUGUACCAGGCACUGUUCUAGGUAUUGGAGAUAUAUCAAAGCAGCACUUCGC